rnacentral:rRNA from 1 species
GCGCGAAAACUUUACAAUGCGGGAAACCGUGAUAAGGGGACACCGAGUGCCAGCAUCAUAUGCUGGCUGUCCAGAUGUGUAAAAUACAUCUGUUAGCAAGGGCCGGGCAAGACCGGUGCCAGCCGCCGCGGUAACACCGGCGGCCCGAGUGGUGAUCGUGAUUAUUGGGUCUAAAGGGUCCGUAGCCGGUUUGGUCAGUCCUCCGGGAAAUCUGAUAGCUCAACUAUUAGGCUUUCGGGGGAUACUGCCAGACUUGGAACCGGGAGGGUAAGAGGUACUACAGGGGUAGGAGUGAAAUCUUGUAAUCCCUGUGGGACCACCUGUGGCGAAGGCGUCUUACCAGAACGGGUUCGACGGUGAGGGACGAAAGCUGGGGGCACGAACCGGAUUAGAUACCCGGGUAGUCCCAGCCGUAAACGAUGCUCGCUAGGUGUCAGACAUGGCGCGACCGUGUCUGGUGCCGCAGGGAAGCCGUGAAGCGAGCCACCUGGGAAGUCGGGCCGCAAGGCUGAAACUUAAAGGAAGUUGGCGGGGAG